UUCUACUCCGCACAAUCCAAUAUUUUUCACCUUGAACAUAAUAUUUGUAAAAUUGUCUAAUUUAUUCAGUUUUACGUACUAAGAUACGUAUGAACCUAUGAGAUUCUUCGUCUGCUUAACAAAUAUUCAAUAUUUUCUUUUUAAGAAUAAAAUUAAUUAUGUUAGUUGGAAUGAACGAGGUUAAUUUAAUGAGAUAAAAAAGUUUAUGAAUUUACACGUGUAGUGCUCUUUUGAAUCAUUUAAUUAUACGCGAACGUCGAGAUUAGCACAAUUGAUCCACCAAUCAAUUGAAAGCAGUCGAUAAGUCUGUUUGCAUUACAUACGAACACAUGAUUAACUCGAUUUCGUUGCUCAACGAGUAACGAAAUUUUGUUAUAACACAAAAGUUUUGAAAAUAUGAUAAGUUGACACUCAAUAUUGCCACUCACUACCGAAUGAUAUGUCUCACUUAUUUAGCCACAAUUUGAAUUGGUUCCAUCAAUACGUUUUUACUUUAUUACGCAGCGAUUUUUCGUUCGUAUAUAAGCCGGAUUACGAGUCUUCCAGAGAGCAGAGAGUCGAUCGCGUUCGUUGAGGUAAGUCACCUUUCCGUAAAGAUUUUACGAAGAAUUAUAAAGUGAAAAUUUUAGAAGAAUUCGGAAAAAGGGAGUGACACUUUUCGGACCUUUGAAAUUGUGUGAUCUUUUGAAAGUCUAAUUUUUUAAAUUAUUUUUUUAUUUUUUCAAUAUUUUUUUAUUUCAAAUAAUUUGGAAGAAAUACAAUUUUUUAACAGGACAUCUAGCAAUAUUGACGUUCACUCAAAAAUCAUAUUUUCUCUGUCUCUCUCUCUUUUUCUUCAAAGCUUGCAAAUAUUCAAGAAACUUUUCGGGCCACAAUGCAUUCAAUUGAGCUUACAAAAACUUUAAUAAAAAAAAAAGUUUUUCACAUUCUAUUUUUUAAAUCUGCUUUUGGAAGCGUUGAGAAAUAUACGCAAACCUCUGAUGAUUUACUCCUAGAAUUUGCUCGAAAAAUCAUAUCCUAUGGUAAUCAAGAGACGCGGUAGCGGCUCGAUUUUUAUUCGAAGAAUUGAGACUUCAAAUGGUUUCCGUUCAAGGUCUUUCCGAAAAUGUUUAACGGCAAGUUACAAUUAAGAAAAAAUGACUUCAUUUCCUAAACUAUUUUUAACAUAAACGUUUCGAAAAAAAUAAUAUUUCGGUAAUCUUUUAGAAUUGGAUGCAGAUUUUCCUAAAGCAUUGAUAUAAUGAAGAUUUGCCUCGCAGUGGGGAUUUUGGGAGCAAUGAUAGUUGCAAUUCAUGCUUCACCCCAUCGAGAUCUUGACCCUUCGCCCGAUCACACGGCAGAUUUUGGGAUCCCAAAGUACUCUCAGUCCGGGCCCUACAAGCCUGUUCCCAUGAGGUUUCAGAGACGUUCUCUCGACUCGAAUUCGGAAAAGGAAUACCAAGGACUCAAGAAAUCAUCGUUCAUCCUUCCGGAAAGUGAUCGCAAAGGAGCCGAGGCAACGGGUGAGGCCAGGACAUUUUAUUAUCCGGAUGGAUCGAAAAUGUAUACAGACUUUAUUGCGUAAGCCUACCUGCUUUAAAACUGGAAUUAAUCUUGAUGGGAGAAAUAACCGAGGCUUGUAACACGACCAACGCAUGAGUACAUUUCUGUGAAGCCUGUGAAGUUGUAAACGACGAAGAGACCGCAUCAAUAAUCGCGUUCGAUCCCCCGAAAAGUUCAGAAAUGAAACUGUGAAUGAUGAAAAAAUAGUAAUUGUAAGAUCGAAUGCACAAUAAAAAUCCAAAAAUAACUUUCA